rnacentral:rRNA from 1 species
GAUGAACGCUGACAGAAUGCUUAACACAUGCAAGUCUUUGGCGAAGCUGUGCUUGCACAGCCUAGCCAAGGCGGACGGGUGAGUAACGCGUAAGGAACUUGCCCUGCAGUCAGGGAUAACAGACGGAAACGACUGAUAAGACCUGGUAAAGUCAGGCGGACUCAUGUCCAGCCUGAUGAAAAGAGAUGCUGCAGGAGAGCCUUGCGUCCUAUUAGCUUGUUGGUGGGGUAACGGCCCACCAAGGCGAUGAUAGGUAGCCGGCCUGAGAGGGUGGACGGCCACAAGGGGACUGAGAUACGGCCCUUACUCCUACGGGAGGCAGCAGUGGGGAAUAUUGGACAAUGGGGGGAACCCUGAUCCAGCAAUUCUGUGUGCACGAUGAAGGUUUUCGGAUUGUAAAGUGCUUUCAGCAGGGAAGAAAAAAAUGACGGUACCUGCAGAAGAAGCGACGGCUAAAUACGUG